GUAUACUACAAUUUACUAUAGUUUACACAUGGGAAUAAAUAUAUAAUGAGAAAAAAUUACUCUGUAUAAAUUUGUAAUAUCUUUUAAUAUUAAAAUUGCUCAUGUUAUAUUUUUUGGGUCCAAACGGCGGUUCGUUUGUGUCAUCAAACCAGCAGCUGUUUACACCGUUGCUUAGUAACGACGGCGGAGGAGAAGGCGGCAAAAUGCAUAGCACUGCUCUCCACACUUUUAUAUUUUUGAUUUUCAACCAUUGGUUUUGUUUCCAAAGCUUUGUAACAUAAGGCACUUGCGUCUAUCUGCCGUGAAUAUACUGCAAAUGCUCUAAAGAACGCUGAAGGUGAGAAGGAAUUAGAUAUACAGCUCUCUGCUUCAAGCGAGUCAGCCACACUCAUCAGUAAAUGAGAGAGUGAAACGCACACGCAAGCACACAUUUUUAUCAAAUAACACGCCAUUAAUAAUUACUCACUUCAGCGAUUUGGUAUGUUUGCGUUUAUUUCAGCAGCAAACCGUACCAGAGUUCACUUGAACUGUACCCCAGACCACCCUUUUUAAGCGGACUCGGAUACGGUUUGCGGGUGUGCACCCAACUUCAGAAGACAGCGUUCACAUCAUCCAGAUAUACUGAACUCUGACGUCAAUCAAACCCGGGUGCGCACCAAAAAUGCUAGUGUAAAAGCCCUCUUACAUACUGCACCUUUAAUCAUUCAAUUUAAUUUCACAAUUGUUGGAAUAUCUUCCAAAAAUCAUGCAUAAGUAAUGUAACUAUAAAGGCUUUUAGGUAGUCCAAAAUGCAGCGGCUAGAGUCCUUACCAGGUCAAGAAAAUAAAUUCACAUAGAGAUCUAAUUUUUUAGCAAACCUAUCUAAAUGACAGGUUUAUGCAAUGUAUAUGUUUAUAGUCUUUAAUGACAUCUUUUUUUGCAUUCUCAGAUUUGAAACAUGCUGCUGAUCAAAGUUAGAUAUCAGGACUCCAGGAAAUUUAUCAGACUUCAGGAUGGAUUUACUUUUGCAGACUUUGUUAAUGAAGUCCACAGUAGGUUUGGCCUACCACCUGAGACAAAUCUACACAUUUAUGAUGACACUGAAACUGAGAUAGACAAGGACAUUUUACAAGAUGUGCUCAAUGCGAGACCUGAUACGUCGCUCAUUAUUGUUAGAAGAGAGAAUGAAGAAAUGUUAUCAGAUGCAACAAGCAGCUCUUGGACUGACAUUUUGUCACUUAGUCAUUCAUCAUAUGAACUUGACCAAAUGCCAGAACGACCUUACAAGAAAUCUAAGACACAUGAUGCAGCAGCUGAGGCAAAAGAGGUUACUUGUUCAUUUAAAUUUAGUACAUGUUUUAUUUUUUAAAUACAUUAAGUUAGUAAAAUUUUGAUGUAUCAUGUUUUUUUUUUGAAGAUGGUUCGUAGUGCCCUAAAGCAGACAAGUGGAGGAGAUGCUGUCCUUGCUGAAUACAGUUCCAAAAAUACACUUUCAAGUGAAAUGAGACGAGUCCUAGUCAACAUUUUGGUUGGACAUAUGGUGGAAAUGCAUGGGUAAAACUGCUUUUUAUUUGCUCUUAAAUACUCAUAGGCAUGACAG
ensembl:lncRNA